AGACUGAGAAGGAGUGAGUGGGGCUGCGGCAGGGCUGGGGGUCCCUGGGGAAGACCCAGGCCCAGCCCUGACCUGCCGGCCUGGGUCGGCUUCUUGACAGCAUCGAGCAGCUGCACGAGCAGGUGACCCAGGAGUGUGCCGAGUACCGUGCCCUGUACGAGAAGAUGGUGCUGCCGCCCCGACGUGGGAUCCAGGGUCAACUGGGCACACGUGCUGGAGCAGAAACAGCAGGAGGUCUGCGCAGGCCAGUAUGGGCCGGGCAUGGCGGAGCUGGAGGAACGGAUCGCGGAGCUCAACAUCCUGCAGAACGAGAUCAACGACCAAGGAGAGCAGCUGCGGAGCCUGGUGGGGCCCGCCCCGUGGGAUGCCGCCACCAUCCGGAGCCAAUACCGAGACCUACUGAGGGCGGCGUCGUGGCGCGGGCAGAGCCUGGGCAGCCUGUACACGCACCUGCAGGGCUGCACGUGGCAGCUGAGCGCCCUGGCGGAGCAGCAGUGCCGCAUCCUGCAGCAGGACUGGAGCGACCUCAUGGCCGACCCUGCGGGCGUGCGGCGGGAAUACGAGCACUUCAAGCAGCACGAGCUGCUGAGCCAGGAGCAGAGCGUAAACCAGCUGGAGGACGACGGCGAGCACAUGGUGGAGCUGCGGCACCCCGCGGUGGGGCCCAUCCAGGAGCGCUGGGGGCAGGGCGAGAGUGAGAAGGGACGUGGUGGGCGGGGAAGGGGGGGGUGGACGUGGGUGCGGGGGCGGGGCGUGGUCCGAGGGCUCCGUGCUGCCGUACCCAGGCCCACCAGGAGGCCCUGAAGAUGGAGUGGCAGAACUUCCUGAACCUGUGCAUCUGCCAGGAGACCCAGCUGCAGCACGUGGAGGACUACAGCCGGUGAGCCCUCGGGCAGGCGGCAGGGGCGGCAGGGGCGGGAGGUCCCACAGCACUCCUGCCCACAGGAGAGGCACUGCACCUCUCAACUAGACAGAGCUGGCAGGGCGCAGUGGCUCACACCUGUAAUCCCAGCACUUUGGGAGGCCGAGGCUGGCGGAUCACUUGAGGUCAGGAGUUCGAGAUCAUCCUGGCCAACAUGGUGAAACCCUGUCUCUACUAAAAAUACCAAAAUUAGCUAGACGUGGUGGCGCGCGCCUGUAAUCCCAGCUACUCAGGAGGCUGAGGCAGGAGAAUCGCUUGAACCCAGGAGGCGGAGGUUGCAGUGGGCCGAGAUUGGCCCACUGCACUCCAGCCUGGGUGACAAAGAGGGACUCCACCUCAAAAAUAAAAUAAAAUAAAAUAGACCUGUGUGGUUGCCACUCGGUCCCAGAGGGAAGGAAAGGCAUGGGCACAUUCUCAACAGGGUGAAGCGGUUCCCAGGGGGGUGAAAAUUGGUUCUUAAUGGCAGAAAAAUAACUGUUUUUAUGCAUGAAGUACAGAUCCACAUACAGCACCUAAACUGUAUACAGCAUAUCUGUGGUACAAAUAUUUCAUGGGGGCCAGGUGUGGUGGCUCACACCUGUAAUUCCAGCACUUUGGGAGGCCGAGCCAGGAGAAUUGCUUGACCCCAGUAGUUCCAGACCAGCCUGGGCAACAUAGGGAGAUGUUGUUUCUAUAAAAAAUAAAAAUAAAAACUAGCCAGGCAUGGUGGCUCGUGCCUAUUGCUUGAGCCCAGGAUUUUGAGGCUGCAGUGAGCCAUGAUCACACCACUGCACUCCCGCCUGGGUGACAGACUGCGACUCUGUCUUAAAAAAAAAAAAAAUCCUGGUGCAAUACCUCAUGCCUGCAAUCCUACCACUUUGGGAGGCCGAGGCGGGUGGAUCACUUGAGCCCAGGAGUUGGAGACCAGCCUGGGCAACAUGACGAAAUCCCAUCUCUAUAAAAAAUAUACAAAAAUUAUCUGGAUGUAGUGGUGCAUGCCUGUAGUCAGAGCUACUUGGGAGGCUGAGGUGAGAGGAUCACUUGAGCCCAGGAAGUCGAGGCUGCAGUGAGCUGUGGUCACUCCACUGCACUCUAGCCUGGGUGGCAGAGCAAGACCCUGUCUGUUAAAACAGAACAAAAUAGAGCUGGGGCUUCCUUUUCCAGUGGGUGUGGUGCAGGGGGCACUGGGCCUCCCUUGGACCACCCGGUUCUCUGGGGCCCAGCCUCAGCUCUCUGUGGAUGGAUUGGGUGGUGCU
rnacentral:lncRNA from 1 species